AAGGGGGCCAAGAGAUGUAGCCACUUAGCAACUAAGGAUCAUGGAAAAGGUUUGGUUUUUGUAUUAAAACCAGAUGUGAGGUGAGCUGAAAUGUUUCUUUAGCUUGUAUUUUUAAGCUCUUACUCUUUCUAACAUUACUAACACAUGCACUUUCCCUUUUCUUAUCGUUUUUCUUUGUUAUACAUGUAUGUAUUUUAAGUAUAUUAUUAUUCUGUCUUGCUUUUAAAAUAUUUUGACUUGGAUAAUCUUGUAUCAGUUUUUAUCUUAGAGAAGGGCAGAGAGGAGUAUAGGACAUACAUACAGACAGACAGUGGCGGGCUGCACAACAAAUAGGAGAGCAUUGCAAGAAUCUGGAUACAGAGUAUCCACCAUGACAACAAGCCAAUUAUAGUCAACUUGGAUGAAGAGCAACAGGAUAUGUGGACAUUUAGCAGCCAGGAAAGGUUUGGUUUUUGUAUUAAAAUCCAGACAUGAGGUGAGCUGAAUUUUAUCUUUGGCUUUUAUUUCUCUGCAAAAUACCCUCUUAUUCCUUUUCUCAUACAUGUAACUAAAUGUAACUAACAUUUGCACUUUCCUUUUUGUAAUCGUCCCUCUUUCUAACAAAUCUAUUUUUUGUAUGCAAUUCCAUUUUUUCUUUGAUUUUGUUUUGAAUUCUAUUGGACUUUACUAAUCUUCUAUCAGUUUUUCUCUUUGACAAGGACGAAGAAGAGUAUAGUACAGACAGACAGACAGUGGCCGGCCACACAACAAAGAGGAAAAUAUAUCUACUUCAGGCCAACAAAAGUCAAAUAUGGUAAAAAGAAAAUCAAGAAUCUACCCUCUUUAUAGGUCGGCUCAUUGACUUAUCAAGCAAAAGACCAUAAAGAAAGCAAUUUGAGAAGGAAUUUGUCAACUUUAGAUGAUAAGACUACAUGAUAGCAGCCCCCCUCCACACGAAAAGGGCAAGACAUGAAGCCACUUUCCAACUAAGGACCAUCGAAAAGGUUUGGUUUUUGUAUCAAAACCAGAUAUAAGGUGAGCUGAAUUGCUUUUUAGCUUGUAUUUCUAAGCCAUACUCCAAUCUAACAUUACUAAUACAUGCACAUUUUGUUAUUGUCUUUGUUAAUAUGUAUUUUAAAUAUAUUAUUAUUCUGUCUUAUUAAAAAGCAUGUUGGACUUAAAUAAUCUUGUAUCAGUUUCCAUUUUUGAUAAGGAUGGAAAUGGUAAGGACAGACAAACAGACCGACAGUGGUCGAGCGCACAGCAAAGGGGAGAGCAUUGCAAGGAUCCGGAAUCAGAGUAUCCACUAUGACAUCAAGCCAACAAUAGCCAAUUUGAAUGAAGAGAAGCUGGAUAUGUUGCCACUCAGCAGCCAGGAUCGACCAAGGGAGAGGUUUGGUUUUUGUAUUAAAAUCCAGAUAUCAGGUGAGCUGAAUUAUUUCUUUAGCUUGUAUUUAUGUGCAAAAUACCCUUCAUUCCCCUUUCCUGUUACUAACAUUUGCACUUUCCCUUUGUAAUUGUCUCUCUUUCUAACUAUUUCUUUGUUAUAUGCAUUUUACAUGUGUUUUUUUUCGUUUCUUGUGUUUGAUUCUUUUUGACUUGACUAAUCUUCUAUCAGUUUGUCUCUUUGACAAGGGCAGAGAGGAGUAUAGGACAGACAAACAGUGGCCGGCCACACAACAAAGAGGAUACAACAAGGAUCUGAACAUAGAAUGUUCAAUAUUACUCCAGGCAAA